rnacentral:rRNA from 1 species
CACGUAGGGCGCGAGCGUUGUCCGGAAUUAUUGGGCGUAAAGAGCUCGUAGGCGGCCUGUUGCGUCCGCUGUGAAAGCCCCGGGGCUUAACCCCGGGUCGGCAGUGGAUACGGGCAGGCUAGAGGUAGGUAGGGGAGAAUGGAAUUCCGUGUGAGCGGUGAAAUGCGCAGAUAUCGGGAGGAACACCGGUGGCGAAGGCGGUUCUCUGGGCCUUACCUGGACGCUAGGAGCG